rnacentral:sRNA from 1 species
CCCGUCUCCUCCUCUUGCUCCCUCGGCCGGGCGGCGGUGACUGUGCACCGACGUCGGCGCGGGCUGCACCGCCGCGUCCGCACGCCCGCCAGCAUGGCCACCACCGCCACCUGCACCCGCUUCACCGACGACUACCAGCUCUUCGAGGAGCUUGGCAAGGGAUGAUACCCUCUUUUUAAUCUUUCCUUCCCCGACCUUCAACUGUUCCUGCUGAGAGAAGGGCAGGGUCUCUCUGCUCCCUUCUGCCCUGGUUCCCUUGGCCGGGACCGCAGGGCUGUCUGAGAUGCAGCAGGGGUGCUUUCUCUGUGGUCCGCAGGUGUGUGAAGAAAACCUCCACGCAGGAGUACGCAGCAAAAAUCAUCAAUACCAAGAAGUUGUCUGCCCGGGAUCACCAGAAACUAGAACGUGAGGCUCGGAUAUGUCGACUUCUGAAACAUCCAAACAUCGCCACUGUAUACAUCAGAUUCUGGAGAGUGUUAACCACAUCCACCAGCAUGACAUCGUCCACAGGGACCUGAAGCCUGAGAACCUGCUGCUGGCGAGUAAAUGCAAGGGUGCUGCCGUCAAGCUGGCUGAUUUUGGCCUAGCCAUCGAAGUACAGGGAGAGCAGCAGGCUUGGUUUGGUUUUGCUGGCACCCCAGGUUACUUGUCCCCUGAGGUCUUGAGGAAAGAUCCCUAUGGAAAACCUGUGGAUAUCUGGGCCUGCGGGGUCAUCCUGUAUAUCCUCCUGGUGGGCUAUCCUCCCUUCUGGGAUGAGGAUCAGCACAAGCUGUAUCAGCAGAUCAAGGCUGGAGCCUAUGAUUUCCCAUCACCAGAAUGGGACACGGUAACUCCUGAAGCCAAGAACUUGAUCAACCAGAUGCUGACCAUAAACCCAGCAAAGCGCAUCACGGCUGACCAGGCUCUCAAGCACCCGUGGGUCUGUCAACGAUCCACGGUGGCAUCCAUGAUGCAUCGUCAGGAGACUGUGGAGUGUUUGCGCAAGUUCAAUGCCCGGAGAAAACUGAAGGGUGCCAUCCUCACGACCAUGCUUGUCUCCAGGAACUUCUCAGUUGGCAGGCAGAGCUCCGCCCCCGCCUCGCCUGCCGCGAGCGCCGCCGGCCUGGCCGGGCAAGCUGCCAAAAGCCUAUUGAACAAGAAGUCGGAUGGCGGUGUCAAGCCACAGAGCAACAACAAAAACAGUCUCGUAAGCCCAGCCCAAGAGCCCGCGCCCUUGCAGACGGCCAUGGAGCCACAAACCACUGUGGUACACAACGCUACAGAUGGGAUCAAGGGCUCCACAGAGAGCUGCAACACAACCACAGAAGAUGAGGACCUCAAAGCUGCCCCGCUCCGCACUGGGAAUGGCAACUCGGUGCCUGAAGGACGGAGCUCCCGGGACAGAACAGCCCCCUCUGCAGGCAUGCAGCCCCAGCCUUCUCUCUGCUCCUCAGCCAUUACAUCUGUGCUGGAGGAUGCCUUUGUCUGCUGUUUUUCCUCCCACCAUCUAUCCUUGCAGAGUUUCUAAGCACAACCCUCUUCGCCCGUGGGGCCCCAGUCAGGUCAUCCAGAUGGGUCUGGUGGGGUUGGAGAGGGUGUGUGUGUUGUGGGUGCACACCUGCCUGCUGCUUUAGGAAGCUGAUCGAACUCCUUGCUUCCCUUAACCUGCUGCUUGCUCACCUGGAGCUGUGGCCUAGCGGGGCUGAUGGCUGUGGGGCCCCCUCCUGGACGUGCCUUUGGCUGCACUGCCCUGUUCCUACUGUGCUGCUUGGCUGUGCUGGCCCGGCCAGGCCGUGGUGGUGCUGUUCUAAUGCUUGCAGUUGUCUUGCAGCCUUUUGCUCCUGUGAGGAAAGGGUUGUGGCCUGGCCCAGCCCAGGGCUCGGGUUAGGGUAAGUCCAAGCUCAACCCAAGCUCUCCCUUACCCUGGUGGCAGCCCCUGCUGAUAGUGGCAUUCCCUAUAAGAGAAGCCUAUGCCGGCAGGACAUCACCAGCUGUCUCUUGGCUUGGGAUGGGUUGGGGAGGAGGGCUCUGGAGGGCACCACCUCUGCCUGCCUGUCAGUCUGAGCCCUGUCUGGUUUUCCUGAGGAACACGUCCUGGCAUGAGAGCUGGCAUGAAAUGUGCAGCUUUCCCAAGCCUCGAGACUGCGAAAACAGGAGAUCAUUAAGAUUACAGAACAGCUGAUUGAAGCCAUCAACAAUGGGGACUUUGAGGCCUACACGAAGAUUUGUGAUCCAGGCCUCACUUCCUUUGAGCCUGAGGCCCUUGGUAACCUCGUGGAGGGGAUGGAUUUCCAUAAGUUUUACUUUGAGAAUCUCCUGUCCAAGAACAGCAAGCCUAUCCAUACCACCAUCCUAAACCCACACGUCCACGUGAUUGGGGAGGACGCAGCGUGCAUCGCCUACAUCCGCCUCACCCAGUACAUCGACGGGCAGGGUCGGCCUCGCACCAGCCAGUCAGAAGAGACCCGGGUCUGGCACCGUCGGGAUGGCAAGUGGCUCAAUGUCCACUAUCACUGCUCAGGGGCCCCUGCCGCACCGCUGCAGUGAGCUCAGCCACAGGGGCAUUAGGAGAUUCCAGCCAGAGGUCGAACCUUCGCAGCCAGUGGCUCUGGAGGGCCUGAGUGACAGCGGCAGUCCUGUUUGUUUGAG